AAAGAAGAGGGAAAGAGGGAUUUCGCACCGGUUCUGCCCAAACCGGUGGGAAGAAUUCAUUUACAACCGGUUCGAACCGGUGCUGUAAAUUAAACAAAAAAACGACUUAAUCGUGAAAUUCGAUCUUCUUCUUCCUUCAAUUCAGUUUUCAUUUCCCUUAGCUUCUGGCUUUUCCACAUUCAAUUCGUAACCCCCUCGCUGUCGCCUACCUUCCCCAUAGCUGUACGUCCUCCAUCGAAGCGCAUUCUGGGCUUUCUCACCUCCAUUGCCGCAACUCGUCUCUUUCUCUCCAUAGCUCUUCUCCAUUGAAGCGCAUUCUGCUGAGCUUUCUCACCUCCAUUGAAGCGCAUUCUGAGCUUUCCAACUCCAUUGUAGCAGCUUCGAGUUGAUAUUAUAUCAACUAUUGAAUUUGACAAGACUGGGGACCACCUUGCUACUGGAGAUCGUGGGGGCCAGGUUGUUUUGUUUGAGAGAACCGACAAAAAGGGUCCUGGUGGACUUAGAAGAUAUCUUGUUAGUAGGCAUCCUGAGUUUCGCUAUCAGACUGAGUUUUAGAGCCAUGAACCAGAGGUAGGUAUCUUCAUUGAAUCGACUGUCAUAGUUGAUGUUUAUACCCUUUGUUUGAUAGGUAUGUGCAGCUUAGAGGAGUUUGCUUUGUGUCUCUUUGAGGUUUCACAGCAGUAAUUAGAGUGAUUCUUGUAUUUUGUAUACAGUGUGUUGCUGUUUUCAGGAGUAAGUAGGGAUAUUGUUCUUGCUGCAUAUAUGGACUUAAAGUCUGUAAAUCAAGGAAGGCUCUCCCUAUACUUUUUUGUUAAAUAUAAGUCAGGCCCGAGGAGACUAUCCUAAGUGUGAUUUAUAGUAAUUAUAGCCUAUACAUUGAGUUUACCAGGGUUAUUUCCCAUUGCCUAGAUGGGCAAUAUGGAAUUAUGGACUUAAAAUUUGAUUUAUGUCAAGGGUUUUGACGAUUUUGAGAUGAGAAUACUCUGUAGCAAAUGGCUUGAUGAAUUUGUAACAAUUUAUCCUCCCUCUAUUUUUCCAUUGAAAUUUAGAAUAGUCUUACUUGAUAGGUAACUAUGCUCCCUUUAAGUUGACAUUGUAAUUCAGCAUUUAGUAGCGUUACUAGUGGGGUUUAUAGCCUUUGAACUAGGUCUAUGGAUAAAAAAAAUUAUUGGGGGGUGGGGGGUUGGAUAUGGACCUUUGGGCAAAUCUGUUGGAGGUUUCUUGGAAUACUUGUGACUCUCCAAUGGCAUUGUAAAAAGUCUUUUGGACAUGACUUGUUGGCAAUCGUUGUUGUCAGGAAGAAGCCUUAGUUUUGGUUCGAUAUGUGACUCAAUUUGAGUGUUAUUUAAUCGGUUGAUAAAAUUAAGAAAAAAGAAGAGGAAGAAGAAAUGAAGGCCGAAUUAAGAUCAAUGCGGGAAGCUGCACUAUGGAGGCAGUCACAAGGUGAAUUCAAGAUGUAAUAGUAAACUAGUUCCUGCUGCAAUAGCGUUGGUAGCAAGGAGGUACAGCCGUACAGAGCACAGGGAUCAGCUCAUGCUGGCUACUUGUGCUUAUGAGAAACUGCAUAUACUCAAGUAUAAGGUCGUACUUGUAAUAAGCUUCGUACUAGUACUAAAGACAUAUCACUUGUGGGAUUUGCUGGCCUCCAAUAGUGGUUGCUGUUCCUGCUUGUGGACAUCUAUUCUAAGCAGACUUUGGCAGAAGUAGGCUCAAAGUGGUCAGGCAGUAAGGAUUUUACAAAAGCACAGUGAGUUUUGAUCAAGAAGGAUUUUGGACACCAGAGCUAGUUGAGGCUGGGGCUACAAGAUAUGGGUUGUUCUUGUGCAUUAACUGGGGCUUAAGGAUGUAGUACUAUAGUGUGAUCUGUUAUUUGUGGUUCGAGCUAUUCUUAGACACCAAGUUGGAGCUGCUCCAAUCUCUCUUCUAAGAUAAUAUUAGUAGAUUAAUGUUGAUUUUUUAAUUCUUUCUCCAUUUCUCCAUUAUUUUAGUUUUUUAAGUGUAAUAUUACAAGU